ACACCGGCAGCUCAAGUGGUAGCUGUUUUUAUUGGGCCUAAAGCGUUCGUAGCCGGUUUGAUAAGUCUUUGGUGAAAGCUUAUAGCUUAACUAUAGGAAUUGCUGGAGAUACUAUUAGACUUGAAGUCGGGAGAGGUUAGAGGUACUACUGGGGUAGGGGUGAAAUCCUAUAAUCCUAGGAGGACCACCUGUGGCGAAGGCGUCUAACUGGAACGAUCUUGACGGUGAGUAACGAAAGCCAGGGGCGCGAACCGGAUUAGAUACCCGGGUAGUCCUGGCUGUAAACGAUGUGGACUUGGUGUUGGAAUGGCCUCGAGUUGUUCCGGUGCCGAAGGGAAGCUGUUAAGUCCACCGCCUGGGAAGUACGGUCGCAAGACUGAA
rnacentral:rRNA from 1 species